GAGUUUGAUCGUGGCUCAGGACGAACGCUGGCGGCGUGCCUAACACAUGCAAGUCGAGCGAGAGGAGUUCCUUCGGGAACAAAUCUAGCGGCGGACGGGUGAGUAACACGUGGGCAACCUGCCUUGUAGAGGGGAAUAGCCUUCCGAAAGGAAGAUUAAUACCGCAUAACAUUACAUUUUCGCAUGAAGAAGUAAUUAAAGGAGCAAUCCGCUACAAGAUGGGCCCGCGGCGCAUUAGCUAGUUGGUGAGGUAACGGCUCACCAAGGCGACGAUGCGUAGCCGACCUGAGAGGGUGAUCGGCCACAUUGGGACUGAGACACGGCCCAGACUCCUACGGGAGGCAGCAGUGGGGAAUAUUGCACAAUGGGGGAAACCCUGAUGCAGCAACGCCGCGUGAGUGAUGAAGGUUUUCGGAUCGUAAAGCUCUGUCUUC
rnacentral:rRNA from 1 species